AUUGAACGCUGGCGGCAGGCCUAACACAUGCAAGUCGAGCGGAUGAAGGGAGCUUGCUCCUGGAUUCAGCGGCGGACGGGUGAGUAAUGCCUAGGAAUCUGCCUGGUAGUGGGGGAUAACGUCCGGAAACGGGCGCUAAUACCGCAUACGUCCUGAGGGAGAAAGUGGGGGAUCUUCUGACCUCACGCUAUCAGAUGAGCCUAGGUCGGAUUAGCUAGUUGGUGGGGUAAAGGCCUACCAAGGCGACGAUCCGUAACUGGUCUGAGAGGAUGAUCAGUCACACUGGAACUGAGACACGGUCCAGACUCCUACGGGAGGCAGCAGUGGGGAAUAUUGGACAAUGGGCGAAAGCCUGAUCCAGCCAUGCCGCGUGUGUGAAGAAGGUCUUCGGAUUGUAAAGCACUUUAAGUUGGGAGGAAGGGCAGUAAGUUAAUACCUUGCUGUUUUGACGUUAACAACAGAAUAAGCACCGGCUAACUUCGUG
rnacentral:rRNA from 1 species